CAUAUCCUGGUUAAAGAGAGAACAACAUACAGAACUGAAAGGGAAAAGCCUUUUUGCUGUACAGAGAAACAGAAGAAAAAGGAGUUAAGGAAGGGACUAAGUCUCUUUAAGGGACUGGGUGACUAAGAGAAGGAAGGGUAGAGUAUGAGAAAGCAGGGCAAGGGGAUAAGAAAAUGGAAGGGUACCUAGAAGGGAGAAGACAUCAAGAAACAAGGAAGUAAAGAAUGGGUUAAGGGAAGGACUCAGUACAAAGUAUGAUAAAGAUUUUUAGAAUCGAACUCAUAUCAAGAAAUAGAAGGGCACAGUGGUGAGGAUAAGGAAGGAAUUUUGGGAAAAGUGAAUAAAAUAAGAAAUAAAUUGUAAAAGAUAAGGAACAGGGAAAGAACCCUAAGAAAGGUGGGCCAAUUUGGAACCAGGAGGGCAGAUUUCAAAUAAGGGAAGAUUUCAAAUAAGGGGUAUGAAUUGGAGAGAUAGUGGACAGAAGAAAUAGGACAUCAGAGGAAGGAUAUGGCAAAAAGUAAAGAAGAGGACAAAUAAUGAGAAAAAACAUAUUGGAAGGAAGAGCCACAGAGAGAUACACAGAGGAAGAGACACAGAGAUAGAGAGAAACUAGGCAGCAUCUCAGGCUGCCUAGGCAGUUGGUCUACUACAGGCAACAGUGGGUUGCUGUCCUUGGUACACAAGAAAGCAUUGGCUAUGGAAAGAGCCAAAAAGUAAGAGGAGAGACAGAGACAGAGACAGAAACAAAGAGAGACAUGAAGAGCUGAGACCUUGAGAAAGACCCUUCUUGCUAGCAAGAUGUGGAGUCUACCAGCAAAGGAGUGGCUGAGGAUGCUGGUGGCCUGAGGUUCUGGAGGCUGAUGUGAUCCAGCUGUGAAUCCCCUUGUGAACAGGAGCUGGCAUGAGCGUCUCAAAGAGACAGAGAGCCUGGCAGUAGUGUGAGAUGUAAGACCUGAUCCCCCAGGAACCAGGAAAGUUGUAAUUGGUCAGACCAUUGGGAGAUAGAGGCAGCAAACUGACAGGGACCAUUGC
rnacentral:lncRNA from 1 species